GAUUUUUGGCAACAGAGGUGGCCCAAUUAUAGAAUGAGCAUAACAGUGUAAAUACUGUAUACAUACUUCAAUGACACACUCCCAAAUCCUUAUUUUAUCCAAAAAUUACCAGACAUCAAUAAAGGAAAGUACCACAUGGACUAUUUAAUUCGUUUCUCUAGUCCCACUUGAUAUCAGUUCCGCAAUAUCUACCUUCCUGUGUUUCAUUGCCAUACUUGAGGGUUUUGGAUAUUUUACCAUGAUUCAUUAUUAAAGUCAAACAUAAGAUAUAGGAGGAUGGAAAGCGAGAGGAAUGACUUGAGGACCAGUGAAGCCUCAAUAUAAGUAGUUUCAAAAGAACAGGAUGGAGUCUAAUUGGUGUUGCCAUUUGUUGAUUCUACAGUCUUGACCUAGAUGCGCAGAAUUCAUGUUAAAAUUCCAGCUAAAAUUAUAGCUGUAGGAGCCAACAAAAGUACAUAUAUAUACAUCAGCCACCGAAACUACACAAGAUUGAUGGAGAUUUUAAAAAAAGAUUACAAGAGCUGAAGGGCUUUAACACUACAAGAACAACAAUGCCAAUGAACCAGAGCUUUCUGAUACUAGAACAAUAUUCAAAGAAUGUACAUGGACAGAGCUAUGGCUCCAACUGCAUAUGUGGAAGAGAAUAGACUUGGUGGGCACCAAUGGAAGGAGAAGUCCUUGGUCCUCCCUAGGUUUGACUCCAAGUUCAAGGACCUUUUCUUCUUGCGAAAAAGUGUAAAGGUCAUGAGUUCUCAGGAAAACAACUGUGCCCUUCACAACACUUGGCUUUUGGAAUAAAGAAAUAAAUGAUAUAAACCCUUUGACUUCCAGGAACCAUAAGAACAGGGAAGUCUACAAGCUUCUAAGAGCCUCACAGUUCCUUAUUCCCUUAUAUAGAAGCUCAGAUCAAGGCUAUCU